CAGCCCACUACUGCCCACCACUACUUACUGCAGUUUUAUGUCAAAAGGUGAAUGAUUGAUGGCAACACAACAAAAUACUAAACCCAAAAUCUAUUUUAAAAAUAAUUUUAAUUUUUUAAUUUAUUUAUAGAUGGGAUCACAUCCCGAAAAGCAAAAAAAGAAAAGGUUGAUUUUGCCUCCAUCCAAAAAAGACAAGAUGUGUUUUUUUAAUUAGUUAUGAAUCAAUAUAUUAGGGUUUCAUAUGAUUAUAAAUUUAAUAAAUCUUCUAUAAAACACUAAGACAUGAAUGCAUGGAAGGGUGAGAUUUUUACAAUGCUUUUUAAUUAGUUUUCUGAAUAAAAUAACAAAUUUUCCUUAAACUAGAUCUGAUAUAUAUAUAUAUAUAUAUAUAUAUAUAUAUACACACGAUGGCACUUAAUCAAAUAUACAAAAAUGCUGAGUCAUUAGAUGUGGUGUCAAAAGAAAAUACGUGGUGCAAAAUACAUCUAAUAAAGCUUAUAAAACUGUUUAAGCAAACAUGUUUUCUUAGACACCACGUGGCAGCAAAGUUGUAGUUGUAAAAUUGAAAUAUAACUCUAUCAGAAGAUCAAAGAAACUUCUGCUACAAUUCUAUCAUCAGAGGCUUCGUAUGUAUAUACAGAAUUUUCAAUACCUACUUUCUUUAUACAGCGUGGCCUCCAAAGUAUACUUUUGCUGUUAUUUUGAUAAUAAAAAAUAAUGAUGGUUUUUAAAAGUGGAGAGUCUAUUUAUUAUUUCUGUUUAUUCUAUUAAUUUCUAUUGGACAACUUAAAACUUCUUAUUCAUAGAAGUAUACGUAAAAAAAAUUAGGUAUAUUUUUUUUAUAUUUCCAAUUGUUUUUUCUUAAUUAUAGAGUUUUAAUAAUGAGUAAGAGUAUCAUAACAUAAAAUACAGGAGUAAAAUAUUAUAUAAGUAUAAAUUUUUAUAUAUUUUGAAGAAAGAAG
rnacentral:lncRNA from 1 species